GAAGAUAAAAGUACAGAGGAGAUGCAAACCUUGGACGGAAAUUAUUGGCUCGAAGAAAGUAGAAGAAGAAUAUUGAAGGAAGAGGGGAAUUGAAGAAGACCAUGGGUGAAUAGUUCAUUUGGAGGGCAAAUCGAGAUCAGAGCGGCUUACUAUCCAAAUUUUACACUCCAAAAAUUUGGUUUCGUUAAAGAAGGUCUUCAAGAGGUUCGUGACUGUUCGAGGGAUUCGUGAAGAAAAGAGUUCUACAAAGGUACAUUCAUUGCCUUUGAAGCUGACAUAAAUGACAAUUUUAAAUAUUGUUAUAUGGCUAUUGGAGCAUCAAUUGAGGGUUGGAAGCAUUGUAGGCCUAAUAUAUUGGUUGAUGGGACGUUCUUGACAUGUAAAUAUGUUAGGACUCUUUUGACGUCUUCAACAAUUGACGGUAACAAUCAGAUUUUUCCUCUUACUUUUAGUAUUAUUGACUCUGAAAAUGAUGCAUCCUGGAGAUGAUUUUUUUAGAAUCUAAAGAAAAGUUUUGGGGAACGAGAAGGAUUAGUUAUUAUUUCUGAUCGAC